GGUGAUUGUUUAAUACAUGCAAGUCGAGCGGACAGAAGGGAGCUUGCUCCCGGAUGUUAGCGGCGGACACUUGAGUAAUGUGUGGGUGGCCUGCCUGUAAGGCUGGGAUAACUCCUCAAAACCGGAGCUAAUACCGGAUAGUUCCUUGAACCGCAUGGUUCAAGGAUGAAAGACGGUUUCGGCUGUCACUUACAGAUGGAUUUGCGGCGCAUUAGCUAGUUCUUGAAGUAACGGCUCAUUGUGGCGACGAUGCGUAGCCGAUGUGAGAGGGUGAUCGGCCACACUGGGACUGAGACACGGCCCAGACUCCUCCGGGAGGCAGCAGUAGGGAAUCUUCCGCAACCAACGAAAGUCUGACGGAAUAACGCCAAGUGAGUGAUGAAGGUUUUCGGAUCGUAAAGCUCUGUUGUUAGGGAAGAACAAGUGCAAGAGUAACUGCUUGCACCUUGACGGUACCUAACCAGAAAGCCACAUCUCUCUACGUGCCAGCAGAUGCGGUAAUACGUAGGUGGUUAGCGUUGUUUGGAAUUAUUGGGCGUAAAGGGCUCGCAGGCGGCCCCUUAAGUCUGAUGUGAAAGCCCCCGGCUCAACCGGGGUCCCUCGGCGGAAACUGGGUGCCUUGAGUGCAGAAGAAAAGAGUGGAAUUCCACGUGUAGCGGUGAAAUGCGUAGAGAUGUGGAGGAACACCAGUGGCGAAGGCGACUCUCUGGUCUGUAACUGACGCUGAGGAGCGAAAGCGUGGGGAGCGAACAGGAGCCUAUACCCUGGUAGUCCACGCCGUAAACGAUGAGUGCUAAGUGUUAGGGGGUUUCCGCCCCUUAGUGCUGCAGCUAACGCAUUAAGCACUCCGCCUACCCAGUACGGUCGCAAGACUGGCUCUCAAAGGAAUUGACGAAAGCCCGCACAAGCGGUGGAUUAUGUCCUUUAAUUCGAAGCAACGCGAAGAACCUUACCAGGUCUUGACAUCCUCUGACAACCCUAGAGAUAGGGCUUUCCCUUCGGGGACAGAGUGACAGGUGGUGCAUGGUUGUCGUCAGCUCGUGUCGUGAGAUGUUGGGUUAAGUCCCGAAACGAGCGCAACCCUUGAUCUUAGUUGCCAGCAUUCAGUUGGGCACUCUAAGGUGACUGCCGGUGACAAACCGGAGGAAGGUGGGGAUGACGUCAAAUCAUCAUGCCCCUUAUGACCUGGGCUACACACGUGCUACGAUGGACAGAACAAAGGGCUGUUAGACCGCAACAUUUAGCCAAUCCCACGGGUCUGUUCUCAGCCCGGAUCGCAGUCUGCAACUCGACUAUGUGAAGCUGGAAUCGCCCGUAAUUACGGUUCAGUUUGCCGCGGUGAAUACGUUCCCGGGCCCAGUACACACCGCCCGUCACACCACGAGAGCCGGCAACACCCGGGGUCGGUGAGGUCCCCUUUAUCCAGCCAGCCGCCGAAAGGUAAAACAGAUGAUUAAAAUGAAGUCGGGGCAA
rnacentral:rRNA from 1 species